rnacentral:rRNA from 1 species
UAGAGAAUCUUCCACAAUGGACGAAAGUCUGAUGGAGCAACGCCGCGUGAGUGAAGAAGGUUUUCGGAUCGUAAAGCUCUGUUGUUGGUGAAGAAGGAUAGAGGCAGUAACUGGUCUUUAUUUGACGGUAAUCAACCAGAAAGUCACGGCUAACUACGUGCCAG